CCAUGUGGCUCACAAAAGAGUCUGGGGUGAGAGGAGGGAGAAAGUUGCCCACAGCAUGGCCUGAGGUGACCAGGCCGCCUCGGGGGUGAGGGAACACUAAGGACACGAGGAUCAUUUCCGCGGGCAUGGAUGGCACUGUGGCCUUGGAAAGCGGGUCUGCCCCUCCCUCCCCCAUCGGUUCCCACGGCUCUCCGCAGCUGGGUCUUCCCUGGCAGGCACGAAAGGUCGUUGGCACGCACACCCUCCCGGACAUACCGAAGUCAAUGUCGAGGAGGGCGGCGUUGGCACCCUCCACCAGGAUCUUCUUGGGGGGGCCGUGGAGUGCCUCAUACAUAAAGUAAACACCAUCUCGGAC